rnacentral:rRNA from 1 species
CUACGGGUUGCUGCAGCGAGGAAUAUUGCACAAUGGGGGGAACCCUGAUGCAGCAACGCCGCGUGGAGGAUGACGCAUUUCGGUGUGUAAACUCCUUUUAUAUGUCAAGAAAAUGACGGUAGCAUAUGAAUAAGCACCGGCUAACUCCGUGCCAGCAGCCGCGGUAAUACGGAGGGUGCAAGCGUUACUCGGAAUCACUGGGCGUAAAGGACGCGUAGGCGGGUUGGAAAGCCAGGUGUGAAAUCCUACAGCUUAACUGUAGAACUGCACUUGAAACUUCUAAUCUAGAGUAUGGGAGGGGGAGAUGGAAUUAGUGGUGUAGGGGUAAAAUCCGUAGAUAUCACUAGGAAUACCUAAAGCGAAGGCGAUCUCCUGGAACAUUACUGACGCUAAGGCGUGAAAGCGUGGGGAGCAAACAGGAUUAGAUACCCGAGUAGUC